rnacentral:piRNA from 1 species
UUGACAACAUAAUUCAGAAGCCUU